rnacentral:rRNA from 1 species
GCCAGCGUCAAUAGCACGUUGAAUACACCAAUUCCCUACGGAUCACUGAAGUUAACCAACUUUGAGGUGAGAUAGGUAACUGGAUGGGUGAUGGUCUGAGACAACUCUUUGUUACUGUCC